GACGAACGCUGGCGGCGUGCUUAACACAUGCAAGUCGAACGGAAAGGCCCUGCUUUUGUGGGGUGCUCGAGUGGCGAACGGGUGAGUAACACGUGAGUAACCUGCCCUUGACUUUGGGAUAACUUCAGGAAACUGGGGCUAAUACCGGAUAGGAGCUCCUGCUGCAUGGUGGGGGUUGGAAAGUUUCGGCGGUUGGGGAUGGACUCGCGGCUUAUCAGCUUGUUGGUGGGGUAGUGGCUUACCAAGGCUUUGACGGGUAGCCGGCCUGAGAGGGUGACCGGCCACAUUGGGACUGGGAUACGGCCCAGACUCCUACGGGGGGCAGAGGUGGGGAAUAUUGCACAAGGGGCGGAAGCCUGAUGCAGAAACGCCGCGUGCGGGAUGACGGCCUUCGGGUUGUAACCCGCUUUCGCCUGUGACGAGGCGUGGGUGACGGUAAUGGGUAAGAAGCACCGGCUAACUACGUG
rnacentral:rRNA from 1 species